rnacentral:tRNA from 1 species
GGGGGAUUAACUCAGUUGGUAGAGUGCCUGUUUUGCACGCAGGAUGUCAGGAGUUCGAAUCUCCUAUCCUCCACCA